rnacentral:misc_RNA from 1 species
AAGUCGUAACAAGGUUUCCGUAGGUGAACCUGCGGAAGGAUCAUUAACCUUUCAAAUCAGGGUGCGGCGCGGCCCCCGAGGAGCGGAAACAAUCCUUGGGAGGUAUGCGGGGGCUUCGAGCCCCCCAUUUACGCACGCACGACUGCCAUCCUUACUUUACGAGCACCUUCUGUUCUCCCUCGGCGGGGCAACCUGCCGUUGGAACCGAAUAAACUCUUUUUGCAUCUAGCAUUACCUGUUCCGAAACAAACAAUCGUUACAACUUUCAACAAUGGAUCUCUUGGCUCUG